rnacentral:lncRNA from 1 species
AAAAGUACUGGACUAUCCAAAUGAAUAGAGAAAAACACAAGUUCAAAGACAAUCUCAAUGAAACCAAACAUAACUCAAGCAUUAGCCUUCUCGAGUUUAUCCACUAGCCAACUCAACCUCAUAUCUUCAUGUAUGAGUAGAAAGACAUCCCCCAUUUUAGUAUUGAUUGCUAAGUACUCCAGUCCUCGGACAUACAAAAGCCUAUCUUCACUAGUCACCUUUUUUAGUGCAGUUCCUAUGCGAUCCGUGUAAGUUUCAGGGGUAGAAAAGGAGUUAGACAGACAUUGGACAGCUUCCAUGAUUCCUUUGGCAUAGUUUGAAUCUUGCGCAAAGCGAAAUUUCUUACGCUUACAUGGCAAUUGGACAUUCGCCCGAGGCGGAAGCUCAACCCUACCAGGUCCAUUGCUACUCUCACCUUGGUUGCCAGUAUUUGUUGUUGCUUGUGUUGCCCCUUCGGAUUGUCCACCAUCCACAACAAUAACUUCAACUUCUUCUUCCUCUUCUUCGUCUUCCCCUAAACAAACUGAUACAUACAAAAGUGAAUACUAUCCUUCAAAAUUAUAAUUAAACAAAUUAAUAUUUAGUUAUCAUACCAAGUACGAUAGGAGACUCUUCUCCACCAUUGUUACCACCACCAUUUGCGACCUCAUUACCAACAAGGAUACUCAUAGCAUCAUAGUAUGGGAAUGACUUUCCUUGGACCUUCUUUGCUUUGGGAUGAGCCUACACAUUUUACA